rnacentral:rRNA from 1 species
AUUGAACGCUGGCGGCAGGCCUAACACAUGCAAGUCGAGCGAGCGGCGGACGGGUGAGUAAUGUAUGGGGACUGCCCGAUGGAGGGGGAUAACUACUGGAAACGGUGGCUAAUACCGCAUACUAUCGGAUAACCCAUAUGGGAUUAGCUAGUAGGUGGGGAAAAGGCUCACCUAGGCGACGAUAUCUAGCUGGUCGUAGAGGAUGAUCAGCCACACUGGGACUGAGACACGGCCCAGAAUCCUACGGAGGCAGCCGUGGGGAAUAUGGCACAAUGGGCGCAAGCCUGAUGCAGCCAUGCCGCGUGGAUGAAGAAGGCCUUAGGGGUGUAAAGUACUUUCAGCGGGGAGGCGUUACCCGCAGAAGAAGCACCGGCUAACUACGUGCCAGCCGCCGCGGUAAUUC